AUUGAACGCUGGCGGUAUGCCUUACACAUGCAAGUCGAACGGUAGAGGGGCAACCCUUGAGAGUGGCGAACGGGUGAGUAAUACAUCGGAACGUGCCCAGUCGUGGGGGAUAACGUAGCGAAAGCUACGCUAAUACCGCAUACGACCUGAGGGUGAAAGCGGGGGAUCUUCGGACCUCGCGCGAUUGGAGCGGCCGAUGGCAGAUUAGGUAGUUGGUGGGGUAAAGGCCUACCAAGCCUGCGAUCUGUAGCUGGUCUGAGAGGACGACCAGCCACACUGGGACUGAGACACGGCCCAGACUCCUACGGGAGGCAGCAGUGGGGAAUUUUGGACAAUGGGCGCAAGCCUGAUCCAGCCAUACCGCGUGCGGGAAGAAGGCCUUCGGGUUGUAAACCGCCUUUGUCAGGGAAGAAAUCUUCUGGGCUAAUACCUCGGGAGGAUGACGGUACCUGAAGAAUAAGCACCGGCUAACUACGUGCCAGCAGCCGCAGUAAGAC
rnacentral:rRNA from 1 species